AUGCUAUGGGACAGAAGACUACCGGCCUCAUCGCCCCAUCCUGAGCCCCGGGACGGGGGUGGGGGGUGGGCCGGGGCAGAAACAUACCACUGCUGGGACAGGAGUUGGGGGAGUCUCAAACAGUGUAGAGAGAACAGGAGCGGGGAGCGGCUCUGGGGGGAACAGCAGCACCAACAACAGCGGUUCCUUCCUGGGCUCACUCUUCGGCAGCAAACGUGCCAAACCACCAGGGCCCCUUAUUCCACCGGGGCCACCCUACCCCGCGCCUGUACCCCCACCGAAUACUGGCGGACCCCCACCUCUCUCCCCUUCAUCUCUAUGCCAGUUGGAGGGGGGGUCCUCCAAGAUCCAGGCACUUCACGCACAAUUCUGUCACGUGGGCAACGUACAGCCCCCACCACCUUACUACCAUCACCAUCGCUACCACGUCCAAGCUGUCCACCCACCUCUGCAAGGUGUGCCCCCCCUCACCUUACAGAGAGGUUCUCUACCAUGUCGACCACAGCUAGGCCCAGCGCACGUCCAGCACCCGCAGCUGGCCCAUCUCUCCCAGCUCUCCCAGCAUGGGCCUCCGGUUCGUUACACCAACAUGGUGGUAGGAUGUCCCCCCCCCCCCCUCCUCCUCCCUCCCAACAUUCGCAGAACCAACAGUUCGCCAUGUACCACGCACAGCCCACACACUCAGUAAGAGGGAGCGGCGGCCCUGGUAUCAAACCCCCUCUAACCUUGUCCUUCUCCCACCCCCACCCCCACGCACACUCCCAAACCCACCCCGGACACGCCCGCACACCACACCCGGUCAGCCACUCUACGCACCAAGCACACUUCAUAUUCGGCACUCUGCCCCACAAUCUGCCGUCCGCCUCCGUCAGUGCGCAUCACGCAGCCUCCGCCGCCCCGUAUCUGCCCCAGUACCCUCCUCUCUCUUCCAUCCCCCCUCCCCCACCACACUCCCCUUUACCCCCCCCUUCGUCCCCCCUUACCCCUCUUACACCUCUCUCCCCUCUCCCCCCCCAGCACCCCGGACAGCCUCAGCAGGGGCCGCCGGCGACGGGGGCUGGAACAACCGGUACAGGGGGCAGCUCCAAAUCCAAACCUAUCAACCGGAUAAGCACCGUGGUGUGA
rnacentral:lncRNA from 1 species